rnacentral:rRNA from 1 species
AUUGAACGCUGGCGGCAGGCCUAACACAUGCAAGUCGAGCGAGCGGCGGACGGGAGAGUAAUGCCUGGGAAUUGCCCAGUCGAGGGGGAUAAAAGUUGGACACGACUGCUAAUACCGCAAAAUAUUGGAUCGCCCAGGUGGGAUUAGCUAGUUGGUGAGGUAAUGGCUCACCAAGGCGACGCUCCCUAGCUGGUCUGAGAGGAUGAUCAGCCACACUGGAAUGGAGACACGGUCCAGACUCCUCCGGGAGGCAGCAGUGGGGAAUAUUGCACAAUGGGGGAAACCCUGAUGCAGCCAUGCCGCGUGUGUGAAGAAGGCCUUCGGGUUGUAAAGCACUUUCAGCGAGGAGGCGUUACUCGCAGAAGAAGCACCGGCUAACUCCGUGCCAGCAGCCGCGGUAAUAC